rnacentral:rRNA from 1 species
UAGGGAAUCUUCGGCAAUGGGGGGAACCCUGACCGAGCAACGCCGCGUGAGUGAAGAAGGUUUUCGGAUCGUAAAGCUCUGUUGUUAAGGAAGAACGAGUGUGAGAAUGGAAAGUUCAUGCUGUGACGGUAUCUAACCAGAAAGCCACGGCUAACUACGUGCCAGCAGCCGCGGUAAUACGUAGGUGGCAAGCGUUGUCCGGAUUUAUUGGGCGUAAAGCGAGCGCAGGCGGUCAAUUAAGUCUGAUGUGAAAGCCCCCGGUUCAACCGGGGAGGGUCAUUGGAAACUGGUUGACUUGAGUGCAGAAGAGGAGAGUGGAAUUCCAUGUGUAGCGGUGAAAUGCGUAGAUAUAUGGAGGAACACCAGUGGCGAAGGCGACUCUCUGGUCUGUAACUGACGCUGAGGCUCGAAAGCGUGGGUAGCAAACAGG